rnacentral:tRNA from 2 species
GAUUAGCUCAGUUGGUAGAGCAGCUGACUCUUAAUCAGAAGGUCCGGGGUUCGAGCCCCC